rnacentral:lncRNA from 1 species
UAUAUAUAUAUAUUCUCGUCUCACCAAAAUCUAAUAAUAUGGUUCAAGAAUUUAGCUCUAUGAUUUUACAUUGAGAUCAAAUUUUAUGCAGCAUUCUCUUUAAAGCACACCGAUCUUCUUUUUCUUUUGCUGAUAUGAAGAUUAGAACACAAGUUUUCUGCUUUCGGUUCUAGCCUAAUUGACACUCAAUUCGGUAUCGAAUUGAAAAUGGGACUUUUUUGUCUGGUUAUGUCAUAGAGGAUUUCUGAAUUAAAUAGCCUGAGUAAUGCUUAUUUCUAAAAUCUAAGCUAAAUAGUUUGCGAGUUUGACACUCCACAUGGAAUGACAAUUUAUUUUAUACAAUAAUCCCUACCAAGUAAGAAGUAACAUGACGUAACUUUAACAACAACCUUGCAAAUAUAUUUUUUCUUAAAGCAAUCAACAGAUAAUCUAGUAUUUCUUCUAACUGCACCAUUUCCAGCCAUCAAUCCGGAUCUUGUGGGGCUGAAAUGCACUGCAUUGCCGGGCCAGCUGAAUGGAUCCAAACGAUCCUUGCAGCCCAAGUACCAAAGUUUCUCUUCAGCAUGGCCUUCUGUGCUGAUUCACGAAAAAGGGAUGGCAUGUUAAAAUAUAACAAUGUGCAUGGAAUGAUCUGCAAGCAUUCAAAAAAGUUAGUGAAUGCCGUGCCUACCUGCUUACAUCCACUUUUUUUUUUUUAUAGACCGGCGCCUCAUACUAGACGAGCAUGAGUACAACCUGAACAAUCUGAAAUGAGUAUAUGACGCAGAUCAGGCGGGACGACCUCAAUAAUUUUCCAAAGAAAACCUCUUGAAUGGUGCGCAGUAAAGAAUGCAACCCAAUCGGCAGCUUUGUUCAUCUCCCAAAAAUGCACGUGGCUGGGAGGAUGCUUGCAUCCACUUCAUUGACUCCACAAAUACUAAAGAGGCACCUAUUUUCUUCCAUUCGAUGUGUGAUAGCCCAGUUUCUUUGGGCUAAUGGGCCGAUAGGCCGGGCCCGUUGGCGCUUAAGCGGGCCCUGUUGCACGCGGGAGGAGAAGGAGAAGACUCCCUUCCUCAAUAUCUCCGGAUUCUGGAGUCCUAUGGCGAGCCAACUUCAUCCAAAACCCUAGAAUCCUAUUAUUU